rnacentral:sRNA from 1 species
GCACCUUUGGAUGCAAAGAGAGCGCCAAGGUAUAGGCCCCUUUGCUAAUACUUUGCAUGCAUGAAACUACUGCAUCUGCCCUCUGCCUCAGACAACUCUGAAGGAUACACAUACAUCGCCCUCCGGGCAUGCACUCCAUCACCGCAGAUGGCAAAACAUCACACAGGCUCUUCCCUUUGCAAAUCAGAACCAACCCUGGAAGGUCAUCUUCUUCCAGCGGCUCUCAGAUCCGAACGAGGACCAAUCAGAGAUAGCCAAAAAAAAAAAAAAAAAAACAAAGUUCUACUCUGAACCAACUAAAAUUCCUACCC